UAUAGAGUUUUCUAAACUCCCAACCCAUGUGAACUUACCUUUUGUUGCCUCGGCAGAAGUUAUAGGUCUUCUUAUAGCUGCUGCCGGUGGACCAUUAAACUCUUGUUAUUUUAUGUAAUCUGAGCGUCUUAUUUUAAUAAGUCAAAACUUUCAACAACGGAUCUCUUGGUUCUGGCAUCGAUGAAGAACGCAGCGAAAUGCGAUAAGUAAUGUGAAUUGCAGAAUUCAGUGAAUCAUCGAAUCUUUGAACGCACAUUGCCCCCAUUAGUAUUCUAGGGGGCAUGGCUGUUCGAGCGUCAUUUCAACCCUUAAGCCUAGCUUAGUGUUGGGAAUCUACUUCUCUUAGGAGUUGUAGUUCCUGAAAUACAACGGCGGAUUUGUAGUAUCCUCUGAGCGUAGUAAUUUCUUUCUCGCUUUUGUUAGGUGCUAUAACUCCCAGCCGCUAAACCCCCAAUUUUUUGUGGUUGACCUCGGAUCAGGUAGGAAUACCCGCUGAACUUAAGCAUAUCAAUAAGCGGAGGAAAAGAAACCAACAGGGAUUGCCUUAGUAACGGCGAGUGAAGCGGCAACAGCUCAAAUUUGAAAUCUGGCCCUUGGGUCCGAAUUGUAAUUUGUAGAGGAUGAUUUUGGGCGGUAUCUUCCGAGUUCCUUGGAACAGGACGCCUUAAGGGUGAGAGCCCCGUACGGUUGAAUGCCUAGCCUCUGUAAAUCUCCUUCGACGAGUCGAGUAGUUUGGGAAUGCUGCUCUAAAUGGGAGGUAAAUUUUCUUCUAAAGCUAAAUA
rnacentral:rRNA from 1 species